UUGGAGGGCAAGUCUGGUGCCAGCAGCCGCGGUAAUUCCAGCUCCAAUAGCGUAUAUUAAAGUUGUUGCAGUUAAAAAGCUCGUAGUUGAACCUCGGGGUCUACCCAUUGGUCAGGCUUAAUUGUCUGCACUGGUGAGAUGGAUCUCUACCUUCUGAGGAACUUUCAUGCCAUUCAUUUGGUGUGAUGGGAAAUCAGGACUGUUACUUUGAAAAAAUUAGAGUGUUUAAAGCAGACUAUCGUCUGAAUACAUUAGCAUGGAAUAAUGAAAUAGGACGGACUGAUUCUAUUUCGUUGGUUUCUAGGAUCACCGUAAUGAUUAAUAGGGAUAGUUGGGGGCAUUAGUAUUCAAUUGUCAGAGGUGAAAUUCUUGGAUUUAUUGAAGACUAACUACUGCGAAAGCAUUUGCCAAGGAUGUUUUCAUUAAUCAAGAACGAAAGUUAGGGGAUCGAAGACGAUCAGAUACCGUCGUAGUCUUAACCAUAAACUAUGCCGACUAGGGAUCGGAUGAUGUUAAUUUUUUAAUGACUCAUUCGGCGCCUUACGGGAAAC
rnacentral:rRNA from 1 species